UACGAAGGGGGCUAGCGUUGUUCGGAAUCACUGGGCGUAAAGGGCGCGUAGGCGGCCGAUCAAGUCGGGGGUGAAAGCCUGUGGCUCAACCACAGAAUUGCCUCGAUACUGUUUGGCUUGAGACCGGAAGAGGUAAGUGGAACUGCGAGUGUAGAGGUGAAAUUCGUAGAUAUUCGCAAGAACACCAGUGGCGAAGGCGGCUCACUGGCCCGGUACUGACGCUGAGGUGCGAAAGCGUGGGGAGCAACAG
rnacentral:rRNA from 1 species